rnacentral:rRNA from 1 species
GACGAACGCUGGCGGCGUGCUUAACACAUGCAAGUCGAACGGAAAGUCCCUGCUUUUGUGGGGUGCUCUAGUGGCGAACGGGUGAGUAACACGUGAGUAACCUGCCCUUGACUGUGGGAUAACUUCAUGAAACUGGGGCUAAUACCGGAUAGGAGCUCCUGCUGCAUGGUGGGGGUUGGAAAGUUUCGGCGGUUGGGGAUGGACUCGCGGCUUAUCAGCUUGUUGGUGGGGUAGUGGCUUACCAAGGCUUUGACGGGUAGCCGGCCUGAGAGGGUGACCGGCCACAUUGGGACUGAGAUACGGCACAGACUCCUACGGGAGGCAGCAGUGGGGAAUAUUGCACAAUGGGCGGAAGCCUGAUGCAGCAAAGCAGCGUGCGGGAUGACGGCCUUCGGGUUGUAAACCGCUUUCGCCUGUGACGAAGCGUGAGUGACGGUAAUGGGUAAAGAAGCACCGGCUAACUACGUG